UUUCCCUCCUCUAACUCUAAGGCUGACAUCUGCUCACCAUGUUCUGGGUUCCCCUUGUUAGCCUGCUGCUAGUGGCCUGUUGCUCAGAUUCGGAUGCACAGCUCACUGUGUCCCAGCCGACAUCGGACUCAGUUUCUCUGGGAAAGACAGUCAAACUCUCCUGUUCUGUAAGCUCUAGCGACAGAAGGAUAUACUGGUACCAGCAGAAACUGGGAAAUGCCCCCCGGUUCCUCUUACAUUAUUACUCAGAAUCCAACAAGGGCCAGGGUUCUGGGGUCCCCGCUCGUUAUUCUGGGUCCAAAGAUGCCUCUGGUAACAUUGGCUACUUAACCAUCUCCGGAGCCUUGGCAGAGGAUGAAGCGGUCUAUUAUUGUGCAGCAUGGAGCCCAAGCAAUGUGUUUCACGGCAUUGCCCCACGAUGGGGAAAUCUGGCUCCUGAAGGCUGCAGUGAAGCGGUGCAUGUGCGCAUGUGUGACAUCUGA